AUGUGUGUAGCACAUAUACUAAAUUGGAACGAUACAGAGAAUGGCCCCUGCGUAAGAAUGACAUGCAAAUUCUGGAAGCAUUCCAUAUUUUU
rnacentral:snRNA from 1 species